GUGAGGAAUAUUGGGCAAUGGGGGGAACCCUGACCCAGCCAUGCCGCGUGAGGGAAGUAGGCCCUACGGGUCGUGAACCUCUUUUGUCCAGGGACAAGGACGGCGUCGGGAACGUCGUUUGAGGGUACUGGAAGAAUAAGCAUCGGCUAACUCCGUGCCAGCAGCCGCGGUAAUACGGAGGAUGCGAGCGUUAUCCGGAUUCAUUGGGUUUAAAGGGUGCGCAGGCGGCCGGGCAAGUCAGCGGUGAAAGUCAGGGGCCCAACCCCGGAAGUGCCGUUGAUACUGUUCGGCUGGAAUGCGGUCGAGGCGGGCGGAAUGUGGCGUGUAGCGGUGAAAUGCGUAGAUAUGCCACAGAACGCCGAUAGCGAAGGCAGCUCGCCAGGCCUGCAUUGACGCUCGGGCACGAAAGCGUGGGGAUCGAACAGG
rnacentral:rRNA from 1 species